AUUGAACGCUGGCGGCAUGCCUUACACAUGCGAGUCGAACGGUAACAGGUUAAGCUGACGAGUGGCGAACGGGUGAGUAAUGUAUCGGAACGUGCCCAGUCGUGGUGGAUAACUGCUCGAAAUAGCAGCUAAUACCGCAUACGACCUGAGGGUGAAAGCGGGGGAUCGCAAGACCUCGCGCGAUUGGAGCGGCCGAUAUCAGAUUAGGUAGUUGGUGAGGUAAAGGCUCACCAAGCCGACGAUCUGUAGCUGGUCUGAGAGGACGACCAGCCACACUGGGACUGAGAGACGGCCCAGACUCCUACGGGAGGCAGCAGUGGGGAAUUUUGGACAAUGGGCGAAAGCCUGAUCCAGCCAUGCCGCGUGCGGGAAGAAGGCCUUCGGGUUGUAAACCGCUUUUGUCAGGGAAGAAAAGGUUCUGGCUAAUACCUGGGACUCAUGACGGUACCUGAAGAAUAAGCACCGGCUAACUACGU
rnacentral:rRNA from 1 species